AACCACAGCUAAAUCUAGCCACUGCGUACUGCAAAAGACGAUUUCAACCAGCCAAAUCCAAACAACAACAACGAUUUCAACCCUUAACCCGUCUUCAACUCGCAUCCAACGGCAAAACCCGAACCCAACCCGUUUCUCUUUCAUCAUUGUCACGCGUUCCACGCGGGUUCGUAUGAGGAAAGCCUGGAAUCUUCCUAAAUGGAUGAGUUGGCUCAUCCAAUGUUCAAAUCCCGUAAAUAUCGGAUUAACUGGUACGAAUUUGUACAUAUUUGGUAGAAUUUCAUUAGUAUUGAAGAAUAAUUAGUUUUCCCCAAUUUUUGUUGGUCCACCGGUUUCGGAUUUGUUGAAGAAAUCCAAAAAGAGGUACGAGUUGUUGAUGAAACCAAAGUUGUGAGGGGAUUUUCGAAUUUCAAAUUUUGAAUUCCCUAUUUUUAGAAAUCUCUAAUUUACCCCUUAUACGCCUUCUAUAUAUAGCUCUCUGUAGAGCUAAGCAAACGGUUCAAGAGAGAGGGGGAGAUUCGAAUUUUGGGCAACUAAAAUACCUAGUUCAAAUUUUGGGUCUGGUGGGAGGAAAAUCCUGGGGUUUCGAAAAUUAGGUUGGUGAUGUGAGAGUUUGAAAAUUUAGAGAGGAAAAAAGGGAGGAGAUUUUAAAAAAAAAGUUUUUGGGAGAAAGGGGGGGGGGGGGGGGGUUGUGUGUGUUCUCUCUUCUUUCCGAGCUAGUUUCAAAAUCAGGGGGAAAUUUUAGCUAAAACCUGAGGGGUUGUGAAAAGUUUGGGGAAUUCUCAAGAGAAAGAAAAUAUUUAUUUUAUUUUCACUAAGGUUUCGAAGGUGUAAAAAAAUAAUUCUUUUUAAGGAAAAAACAGUGAAGUUACUUGUUCUCUAGUUCGCCUUAUCGGGAAGCUGGUCGAUCAAUUGAAAAGUUCCCGAAUCGACAACAUUGACUCCCGGUAGUGACAAUUUCUCUGAUAGCUCAUCGUUCCAUUUUGCUGCCCCAAAAGAGGUAAUACCUUUCUCAUUCAUAGUUCCUAUUAUCGUUUCUUUGUUUCUUCUUCAUCUCCUUCUUUAUAAGGUUUAUGUUGUUUCCUGUAUGCCGGGUUGUCUGCUGUAGAAGCCUUAAAGGCUAUAGUUUUCUUUGAGUGAAGCAAGUGUUGGAUUGUUAUUACGUUGGGUUAAUGUUGGUUUUAAAUUGAUUAAUGGGCGAUUUAAGUUGUUGGCUACUGCUUGUGUUUUGAAUGCUAGUUUCAUAGCUAAAGUUUCAUGCUUCGAUCUUGAUUAAUCGUUUCGGGCUGAUGGUACGUUAUUAUGGCUGAUUCAUGAUUUAAAGUUGCAUGCUUGUAUGGUUGUCGUGCUGAUGGUGUCCUGUUAUAGCUGAUUCUAUGUAAAGUUUUGUGCUUUGAAUUUGUUUCAUAGUUUCGGGCUGCUGGGAUCUUGUUAUACCUGAUUUAGUGGUUAAAGUUUCGUUCUUUGAUUUUGCUUAGUUAGUUCAGGGCCGAUGGUGUCUCGUUCAUGGUUAGUAUUUGACGUUAUUUUAUUUGUCGUCACUAUCUUGAUGUUGUUAAGUUUAUAGCGUUGUUAAUGGGAUCGCCUCUUGAGUUUUUUGGCUUCUUAAAUGCCGAAGGACGAUGAGGAUACGUCCAAUAGUGAGCUAGAAAGUCUCAUGACUCCUCGAGGACCAUCCCGACCAUUAAAACCUCAUUUUUGAGUUCGUCAGAAAGAGGACGAGGAUAGAAAUAAUACCCCCCAUCAUUUUGUUCUUAGCCCACGUAUCUUGCUCUUUAUUUUGAAGCUCUCGAAGUGUAAGGGUUUGUUGGGGGAAUGUCAAACAUGUGAACAGAUUUGACCUCUUUUGAUACGUCUGAUGUCGAAAAUCAAUGAAGUUGAUAGGUUUUUUUUGCUUCCUUUGAGCUUGAUUCGUAUCAUUUUCCGCUUAGAUAUUCGUUUCAAGGUCUAAAACUUUUAAAGUUUUGCAAUACCAUGUUUCAUAAGACACUAGUGAUUGCCUUUGUCUCUAAGGUCUGUUAUAUACUGAAAAACCAAUUUCUCCGCGUCGCAGUGUUCACGUUAGUCUUAAGCUUGUUGUUCCGGCACACAAAGAAUCUUGCUAAAAUGUUUCUAUUGUUUUGUAUGCGUUUCUCUGUGUAUAUGGUGGGAUGAUGCAUGAGUAGGCGGUGAUGGUAUCUUUAUUAUGGUUAAAUAAUAAACAGAGGAGGUACCCAUUGUUGACUGUUUGCUGCAUUUGUUCAGUAUUUAUGGUGAAGUUUAGGUCCCGACUGGUUCCUCGGAUCUUCUAUUUUAAUUGACUUUUAUAGUUAUUGUCUUGCUCAAGCUUGUGUUUUUUUACUGAAAGAAUAUGAAUUUUCCUUAUUCUCUUGAUCUUCCUUUGUUUCACCUAAGAUGUUUGAGCUUAUGGUCACUCAUUGAGUAAAUCAUACUUUUGUCAAUUAGUUCUGUGGGUUCUUUGAGUAUUUAGAAAACAAAAGAGAUUCAUCUCAUUUGAUUCACAACAUUUGAUUUCUUGUCUACUAAAUGGGUACCUCAUAGAUUUGUGUAUGUUUAUCGAACAAGAUUCAGUUUUUCCAGGUUCGUUGGUUUUAUUUAUGUGGCUGACUUGAAAAAAUAGAGCUUUACUGUCUACCCUGUUGCUUCAGUUAGUCACUAUCUUGCCCAAAGGUCACACUUUUGCCUUUAUAUCGUAAAAUAUGAAUCUUCUGUUGGGUUGAUUCUCUGUAUUUUCCUUUCUUUGGUCUAUGUAUGUGGAAUUGAUGUUAACCUAUAUUGUCAUCCAUAGUCAAAAAUCCAAUUUUAUGAGUUUCUUGGUUAUAGUCUAUUAAGGAUUCAAUUUGUCACUGCUUUGGAAGGUCGUAAUAGAUUGUUGUUAUGUUUGCUGCAUCUGAAAUACAAAAAGGAGUCAGUUUCUGUUUGGUUACUCAUUUUCCUUUUUUUUUUUUUUCUUUUUCUUUCCAAUUGGACAUGUAUUAAUGUUUUCUUUAUUUUUUCUUGUUUUGCAUGUAAAUUCAAUCCGGAGUCCGAAUGGGCUUCCUUUUCUUUACGUUUCUAAGAGGCCAAUGAGGCCUCUCUUUUCGAGUCAAACUUCGAGGGAAGGCCCAAAACGAGUUUCUUAGCAUGAAAAUGCAAGGGAUCGAAAGAGGGAAAAAUGGAUUAAAGUUUCAUCCUCGAAGCAGCUAAGAGACGCGAAAGUCUCGUUUGUCAUUUUAUUUAUUUAAGCAUUAUUUACUUAUGUCAUUUAUUUUACUGAUUUAUUUAUUUAUUUGGGCCUUGAAGCCAAAGUUGUAAAUUUAAUACAGGUGGAAAAAGACUCGAGCCAAAGGCUCGAAACAUAGAAUUAGGACAGGUGAAAUGGGUCAAAAACCCAAUUAGACUAGGACAGGUUUUGUUGGUUUGGGCCAAUGGCCUAAAUCGUUUAUUUGCUCCUCCCUUUCCCCGUUUAUGUGUUUACUUGCUUAUUUCAUUUGUGUAGACUUAGUUAAAAUCCCUAUUAGGUUGUCUAAAACUGUUUUUACAUAAUUUUUUUUCUUCCUAAAAAUCAAUCACUUUUCAACAAAUUCAUCUUUUAGAAGCUAAUCAAAAGACGAUUUUCAAACAGUCCGGAUAACCACAAGUUAGCGGACGUUUUAGGUGCCUAACACCUUCCUAAAACGUUAAUAGGAAUCGCUUACUCAGAAUCUCUUAACUUAAACGAUUUUCCUGUUUUGAAUUGUUUUAAGUAACUUUAUAAAGGUUUUUUAAUUCCUUUUCAAAAUUAAGUGGCGACCCUCUCUUAAAAAGUCAAAAAUUUCUUUGCAAAAUAGUAUUCAUGAAGGAUGAAUUGCAUACAUUGUGACAUCUGAUAGUGAAACAACUAGUGAGGAAAAAUCUUCAUCGACUUUUCUUGAGAUAGAGAUUGAGAUCGACAUUGUUAUAUCUCCGACUACAAUCAUCAAUCUUGUAUUCUUUGUGCUUGAUAUCUGAUACGGGAUAAAGAGACAUCUUAGCACUCGAGGACAUGAAGACGUGAGUGAAGAUCCGAGCUCGUGGGGCUUCCCGUCCAAGGAAUAAGCUUUGAAUUGUUGAGAACAAGUCUCAACACUCCAAAACCGUCCAAGGAGUACACUAAAGGCCACAUUUUUGUUUGGGCUCAUUAAGGGCCUUUUGGUCAUUUUUGUAAUAAGUGUUGUCUUAGUCUAUAAAUAGAACAUUUAGGUCAUUUUGUCAUUUAGAACUUUGAUGAUAUUUUUUGAAUACUCUUUGAGAGUGUCUUGCAAGGUGGAAUCCUUGUAUUGAUAGCUUGCUUAGAAAAGGUGGUUGAUUGAGAGCUUUGAUUCCCUUGAGGUCUACGUAAGAGUGUAGGUGUCUUGUAUUCAUGUUGUUUGUGUUUUGAUGUUUAACGUACAUCUUAGUGCCUAUAAUAUGUAUUACAUUAUGUCUCACUAUUUAUCCAUUUAUCUAUUGCAAAUCGUUGGUUCUUGUGUUUGCCUCUUGUAGCCGUUUUGUAUUCUUGUUGUCUUGUGUUGUUGUUGCAUUUUUGGGAACUGUCUUGAGGUUUGUUUGGACUAUUUGGUAUCAUUUGGUAUCAAAUCCAUCAUUUAUUUCAUUCCCACGAGAUCAAUUUUGGGUUUGUUCACUUAGAAAUAAAAAAAAUAUUGAAUAACUGAAAAACUCAAAAAUAGUAAUCUUCCACGUUUUUGUGUUUAGGCCAAAAUUUGAAGCCUGGUUUUCUUGUGAUUUUUGUGUGUUUUAUGUGUUCUAGUGUUAGAUCUUUGUUUUCUGACAUUAGAAGAGGUGUCCAAGGUCAAAAAUCUCACAAAAAGAAGUUAUUCUACGGGUUUGGUGUCUUGACUGAAGUGUUGUUGUUGUUGUUUGACCGAAUUUGUGUCUAGAUUUAGGUGUUAUUUUGAUUGUCUUUGUUGUUUGGCUGAAUUUGUGUCUAGAUUUAGGUAUUGUUUUGAUUGUCUUUGUUGUUUCUUGUGUUGGUUUUCUUUCUCUCUAACACUACUUGAGUCUAACCCAAGUUCUUGAGCAAAAAGAAAUUACAAGUUGUUGUGGGAAGAGUGGGCGGUUUUAUUGUUGUUGUUGUUGGAGUUCUUGUGUUGCGUUAAAGAAGUCUUGUAAAAGGUUGUUGUUUGAUCCAAAUUCAAAGGGAAGAGAGUGUGGAUUCUUGUUAGUCUUGAAACAACUUUCAAGACAUUACCAAAGGGAAAAAAGAACAAAAAACCUCCCAAAAGUCUCAUACCAAAAAAGAAUAAAUUCAUUUUUUUCUAGACAAGCCAAAAGAGGAAAGGGGGACAAGACCUCCAAAAGGUUGUCUUGCCAUUUUGGUGCAAGUAGGUGAAAGAAUUUAUAAGUCUUGAAAGUAGAGUCUAGACCUUGUUUGUCCUAUACCUUGGCCGAAAUUCUUCUCUUCCAUACAUGAAAUUGAACAACUAGUUUCUUGAAACAAAAAAUUUUCAACUUCAACCACAUUCCAACGUCCAAUAGUUAAGUGCCAUGUCAUCAAAGAGCUCAAGAACAUUGGAUAUUCUAGUUUCACUUUCUUGUUUCCAUUAGUUUCAAUUUUGUUGAUUCUCAUGCUAAUUAGCAAACUUAGUAAAUACCUACUAGGUUGUAGAUUAGUUUUUGAGUAUGUUCUCUUUCGUGUUAAGCGUUGUAUUGUGUGCUUUUCUCGUUUUUAAGUCGUAGUAUUUUCUUUGGUCCAAGUUCGAACACCAUUUCUUGAGUUGUUUCAAACAAGAAUCUACUUUGACCUCGAGCCACAAUUCGGAUCAAGUAACCUCAUUGGAGUAUAAACGAGUUAUCAACACUUGUGAGGCCAAUAGAGUGAAUACUUCUAAAGUAUGAGUUUGAGAGAUUGCGGACUGUUUUGAGACGAAUUUUGGAUUGAUUUUUGCUAACCUUUAAUGUGUUUGUUGUUUUUGUGUUGUUUGUUUAGUAGUUCUUGAUAGGUACAUGACGGGUGAAGGUGAAAUGCCUAGUUGGUUUAAAUCCAUCAUGGCAAAGCUUGAUGCCAUAGAAAGCCGAUUGAGAUCUUUUGAAGGGAAAAUAGAGAGAAUGAAAGGACGAGUGGAAAGAAUGGAAAGAAUAAUGGAUAGAAUGGAAGGAUGAAUAGAAAGGACAUAGAGCUCUAUUUGCAAGAAGUUGGAUAACUUGAUAGAGCAUCCAAGAUUUCCUAAUCCAAUUCCCAUGAGUGGCCACGCUCCACAUGAGCUACUAGGUAAUCAAAUUAACUCUUGCACUCUAGUGAAUAAGGCUAAUAACCAUCUAAGUGUGAAUGAUAGUUUGUCUUUAAGUGAGCCAAAUGUGCCUUCAUUUUGUGAUGAUAAUGUACAACUUAAGAUUGUGGAUACACUAGUUGAUCCACCUAGUUUUGAAGCCAUUGUGGCAAGUGAUAGUAUAUUUUCUUAUGGAAGUCAUGAAGACCAACUUGUGUGUGAAAAUGGUAAUGAUGAACAUGUUGGCCGAUUGACUAAGGAUGACCCUUUAGUUGUUUUUGUUGUAGAUCAUGCGAGUAUAGAGGGAAUAUUUGAUCGUAAUUGUAGUAGUAUUGGGGUAGGGAAGUGUGUCCCCAACCCGUUCCCAUGGACACUCCACCCAUUUGACCUCGGUGAUCAUUUGAAAUACGGUGAUGAUGUCUUUUGGAAUGACUUGAAUGUGUAUGAAAUGUCUGGUUUUUCUAUCUCGGCUUUCAAGCCUAUUUGUUGUUCCAAUAAGAGUCUAAGUUUUUUACUUGAUAAUCAACUCUUGUUCCUUGUUUCUUGUCAUACUUAUGUGGGUUGCCUAAUUUAUUCUUUCUUGGGAGGGUAUUUGGAUAAGAGAAAUGUUUGGUUGUAUGUGAAGUUUGAGCCACCUUGGCAAGAUCCUAUAAUUGAUUACACUAAUUCUAAUCCUCAUACCUUGAGGAACUUGUUUGCUUGUCGUUCCUAUUGUUUUACAAGGUUCAGAUUCGAGGACGAAUCCUUUCUAAGGAGAAGAGGAUGAUACGGGUCAAAGAGGUAUCUUAGCAUUGAGGACAUGAAGACGUGAGUAAAGACCCGAGCUUGUGGGUCUUCCCAUCCAAGGAACAAGUUUUGAAGUGUUGAGAAUAAGUCCCAACACUCCAAAAUCGUCCAAGGAGUAAACUACAAGGCCGCCCCUUUGUUUGGGCUCAUUAAGGGCCUUUUGGUCAUUUUUGUAGUAAGUGUUGCCUUAGUCUAUAAAUAGAACAUUUAGGUUAUUUUGUCAUUUAGAACUUUGAUGAUAUAUUUUAAAUACUCUUUAAGAGUGUCUUGCAAGGUGGAAUUCUUGUGGCAAGGUGGAAUCCUUGUGUUGAUAGCUUGCUUAGAAACAGUGGUUGCUUGGGAGCUCCGAUUCCCUUGAGGUCUAUGUAAGAGUGUAGGUGUCUUGUAUUCAUGUUGUUUGCGUUUUAAUGUUUAAUGUACAUCUUAGUGCCUAUAAUGUGUAUUACAUUAUGUCUCACUAUCUAUCCAUUUAUCUAUUGCAAAUCGUUAGUUCUUGUGUUUGCCUCUUGUAGCCGUUUUGAGUUCUUGUUGUUUUGUGUUGUUGUUGCAUUUUUGGGGACUGUUUUGAGGCUUGUUUGGACUGCUUGGUAUCAUUCUCCCCUUCUUGAAAAAGGAUUCGACCUCGAAUCCGCUCCUUGUAAAAUCAAAGAAGGACAAACAAGCAAAAUAUCCUCAUGACAUAAGGGUUAGGAUUAGCAAAAUAUACACAUCACAUGUCAUGUCGAGGUGAGACAAACUUGGAGUAUACCCACGGGUCCUUUGUGUUGAACAUGAAAACCUUAGUAUAAAUGGAACAAAG
rnacentral:lncRNA from 1 species